GAUGAACGCUGGCGGCGUGCCUAAUACAUGCAAGUCGAGCGAACGGACGAGAAGCUUUCUUCUCUGAUGUUAUCGGCGGACGGGUGAGUAACACGUGGAUAACCUACUUCUAAGACUGGGAUAACUUCGGGAUACCGGAGCUACUACCGGAUGAUAUUUUGAACCGCAUGGUUCAAAAGUGAAAGACGGUCUUGCUGUCACUUAUAGAUGGAUCCGCGCUGCAUUAGCUAGUUGGUAGGGUAACGGCUUACCAAGGCAACGAUGCAUAGCCGACCUGAGAGGGUGAUCGGCCACAACGGAACUGAGACGAGGUCCAGACGCCUACGGGAGGCAGCAGCAGGGAAUCUUCCGCCAUGGGCGAAAGCAUGACGGAGCAACGCCGCGUGAGUGAUGAUGGUCUUCGGAUCGUAGAACUCUGUUAUUAGGGAAGAACAUAUGUGUAAGUAACUGUGCACAUCUUGACGGUACCUAAUCAGAAAGCCACGGCUAACUACGUG
rnacentral:rRNA from 1 species